rnacentral:rRNA from 1 species
UACGAAGGGGGCUAGCGUUGCUCGGAAUCACUGGGCGUAAAGCGCACGUAGGCGGCUCUUUAAGUCAGGGGUGAAAUCCUGGAGCUCAACUCCAGAACUGCCUUUGAUACUGAGAAGCUUGAGUCCGGGAGAGGUGAGUGGAACUGCGAGUGUAGAGGUGAAAUUCGUAGAUAUUCGCAAGAACACCAGUGGCGAAGGCGGCUCACUGGCCCGGUACUGACGCUGAGGUGCGAAAGCGUGGGGAGCAAACA